UACGGGGGGAGCAAGCGUUGUUCGGAUUUACUGGGCGUAAAGGGCGCGUAGGCGGCGCAACAAGUCACUUGUGAAAUCUCCGGGCUUAACCCGGAGCGGUCAAGUGAUACUGUCGUGCUAGAGUGCGGAAGGGGCUACUGGAAUUCUCGGUGUAGCGGUGAAAUGCGUAGAUAUCGAGAGGAACACCUGCGGCGAAGGCGGGUAGCUGGGCCGACACUGACGCUGGAUGCGCGAAAGCUGGGGGAGCAAACAGG
rnacentral:rRNA from 1 species